AUUGAACGCUGGCGGCAGGCCUAACACAUGCAAGUCGAACGGUAACAGGAAGCAGCUUGCUGCUUUGCUGACGAGUGGCGGACGGGUGAGUAAUGUCUGGGAAACUGCCUGAUGGAGGGGGAUAACUACUGGAAACGGUAGCUAAUACCGCAUAACGUCGCAAGAACAAAGAGGGGGACCUUCGGGCCUCUUGCCAUCGGAUGUGCCCAGAUGGGAUUAGCUAGUAGGUGGGGUAACGGCUCACCUAGGCGACGAUCCCUAGCUGGUCUGAGAGGAUGACCAGCCACACUGGAACUGAGACACGGUCCAGACUCCUACGGGAGGCAGCAGUGGGGAAUAUUGCACAAUGGGCGCAAGCCUGAUGCAGCCAUGCCGCGUGUAUGAAGAAGGCCUUCGGGUUGUAAAGUACUUUCAGCGGGGAGGAAGGGAGUAAAGUUAAUACCUUUGCCCAUUGACGUUACCCGCAGAAGAAGCACCGGCUAACUCCGUG
rnacentral:rRNA from 1 species